CCUACGGGAGGCAGCAGUAGGGAAUAUUGCUCAAUGGGGGAAACUCUGAAGCAGCAACGCCGCGUGGAGGAUGAAGGUUUUCGGAGUGUAAACUUCUUUUUUUAGAGGAGUUAAUGACGGUAUGUGACGAAUUCUCACCGGCUAACACCGUGCCAGCAGCCGCGGUACUACGGAGGGUGCAAGCGUUACUCGGAAUUACUGGGCGUAAAGAGCGCGUAGGCGGGUUAGCAAGUCAGAUGUGAACUCCUUUGGCUUAACCAUAGAACUGCAUUUGAAACUGUUAUUCUAGAGUAUGGGAGAGGUAGGUGGAAUUCUUGGUGUAGCGGUGAAAUGCGUAGAGAUCAAGAGGAACACUGAUUGCGAAGGCGACCUGCUAGAACAUAACUGACGCUGAUGCGCGAAAGCGUGGGGAGCAAACAGGAUUAGAUACCCUGGUAGUC
rnacentral:rRNA from 1 species